GUCCUGGUAGCUCAGCUGGAUAGAGCAAUGGCCUUCUAAGCCAUCGGUCGGGGGUUCAAAUCCCUCCCAGGACG
rnacentral:tRNA from 1 species